GUGGCCUAAAACUAGUCCUGUCGCUCGAACCGUGGGACUACAUUCGAGGACCACGUGGUACGAUAGGCGCAUUAAUCUACAUCCAUGACCAGGCAGAGCUCCCGACACUGACAACUAGUCGCGGAGUUUCGGUUUCAUCCGGUACAUGGACCUCUAUAGGUUUAGAAGAAACACGGGAAUCGCGUCUUGCUGCUCCUCACGGAAACUGUGCGGACACUGAUCUCAAAGAACUACCUCUUGGUACCCUGUACACAACCACCAACUGCAUGAUUAACAAUCUCUUUCGAUACGUCCGGGAGGCAUGUGGAUGUCUACAUUUCUUCAUGCCAAGUACAUCGAAUACAACCUACUGCACAUUUUCAGAGCUGAUCGGAUGUGUGAAGAAUCGAUUAGGUAAG